GACGAACGCUGGCGGCGUGCCUAAUACAUGCAAGUAGAACGCUGAAGGAGGAGCUUGCUUCUCUGGAUGAGUUGCGAACGGGUGAGUAACGCGUAGGUAACCUGCCUGGUAGCGGGGGAUAACUAUUGGAAACGAUAGCUAAUACCGCAUAAUAGCAGUUGUUGCAUGACAACUGUUUGAAAGGUGCAAAUGCAUCACUACCAGAUGGACCUGCGUUGUAUUAGCUAGUUGGUGGGGUAAAGGCUCACCAAGGCGACGAUACAUAGCCGACCUGAGAGGGGGAUCGGCCACAAUGGGACUGGGACACGGCCCAGACGCCUACGGGAGGCAGCAGUAGGGAAACUUCGGGAAUGGACGGAAGUCUGAACGAGGAACGCCGCGGGAGGGAAGAAGGGUUUCGGAUCGGAAAGCUCGGUUGUAAGAGAAGAAAGAGUGUGAGAGUGGAAAGUGCACACUGUGACGGUAUCUUACCAGAAAGGGACGGCUAACUACGUG
rnacentral:rRNA from 1 species